ACGAAUGGGGAGUUCAGACGCUCGCGGAAAUCAGGCGGGGCGGGGCGAGACCCUCACCCUGGCUCGAUGGCCAACGCCCACUCCUCCUCAAAGGUACAUUGGGGACAUCUGACUGGACAGUGCCGCACCUUCGCUAUCCCCCUCUUUCCUGGGUGUGUUGGACCCAAACAUAGUCAAAGACCGGGCGGCUGGGUGGGUCUCUAUUCCCCGCUCUGGGCAGCCAGGAUCCUGUGCACAAGUAUCCAAGUGAGUGACUUGAAAGCUACGGUCAUUCUAACCAGACGGAAGGAACAUUCGCAUCAGAUGGACGCAUGCCUGGACGCACUUUGGGAGAGAGUUGAGAAACCCCCGUCCUUCUCCCUGGUACUGUCCAUCCUCUGGACAUGGAGCCCGGGCCCAGAGUUCGCUGACACCCCACACUUCCUGGAUCUGGCAGCAGCAGCCGGCUACAGCGAAGUGUCCUCUUUCUGUGCAGUGCGCUCAGGGCGGCUCUGGGACAGGUGCCACCACCGGACCACCCCUGUUCUUCCAAGUUUAGCCAUGAACUCUGUGGCUGACGAUCCUUGAGAGGGGACAGCUGCUAGCACCGAGGUUGCACGGACCCCUGCAGAGGCCAGGAGCUGUGCCGCUGGCUAGGGUGUAUCGCCCAGCAAUCUUGAAAUCAGUUUGGCUUCCUCUCCUCCCCAACAUCCGUCUCAUUUUCAAUUUUCUAACUCUAUUUUCGGACAACUGGACCGGGACAAGGGGUGAAGAACUGUGACCCCGGAGACAGUGGCAUAUCUAUGUAGUCUGCUGAAAAGGGAUCAAUUUGGGCAUGGGUGGAUAGUCCCUGGAAAUCUGGGCUUUAAGUGUACAGUGGUCAGUGAUUCGCUGUGUUAUGGGGGUAAUUAGGAAUCUCUUGGGCCCAGUUUCUUAAUUCACGAAGAGAAAACUAGUGUUCGUCCUGUCCCCUCAUGGGACUUCCGUUAUCUUCUCUAGGAAUAUCAAUCUUCCUGGCAGAGAGUUGUCGUUUGUUGGAAUCAGGAAUUAUACAUUAACCUUAAGAAUAAGCCCUUAGAAAAGGAAAUCCCAGAACAGCUGAUCCCAGUACACCUGGGUUCCUCCUCUUCUUGCCCUUAUACCAAAACCACCAAGCAGGACUAGAAAUAAGAGCUACUCUUAAGCUCAUUGUGCAAAGGGCUGGCCCAGAGGACUAACUCCAGCAGUAAUCAGCCAACCCAGCCCGAUGGUGUGUUUCUGUGCACACAUGCAAGGGAGCUCUCCAACAAAUUGAUCAUUUUCAUCUUUCGUAAAAGAAAUAUCCUGCUGGUACCCAUGGCCACUUUGGGAAGAUUAAUAAGCCUGAUUCAUAAAUUAGGAACGCGCGUUUUGUAGAUUGUGCUGAGCCAGAGUGCUGGGUAAAGAAAGGGAAGGCUCCUGGACCAGGUGCGCUGGCCUUGGUGCUGAAGGUAGAGUCAUCUGGAGCGGAAUCUUGGUGUCUGGCUAAACAAAGC
rnacentral:lncRNA from 1 species